rnacentral:rRNA from 1 species
AGUGAACGCUGGCGGUAGGCCUAACACAUGCCAGUCGAACGGCAGCACAGUAAGAGCUUGCUCUUACGGGUGGCGAGUGGCGGACGGGUGAGGAAUACAUCGGAAUCUACUUUUUCGUGGGGGAUAACGUAGGGAAACUUACGCUAAUACCGCAUACGACCUACGGGUGAAAGCAGGGGAUAUUCGGAACUUGCGCGAUUGAAUGAGCCGAUGUCGGAUUAGCUAGUUGGCGGGGUAAAGGCCCACCAAGGCGACGAUCCGUAGCUGGUCUGAGAGGAUGAUCAGCCACACUGGAACUGAGACACGGUCCAGACUCCUACGGGAGGCAGCAGUGGGGAAUAUUGGACAAUGGGCGCAAGCCUGAUCCAGCCAUACCGCGUGGGUGGAGAAGGCCUUCGGGUUGUAAAGCCCUUUUGUUGGGAAAGAAAAGCAGCAGGUUAAUACCCCGCUGUUCUGGCGGUACCCAAAGAAUAAGCACCGGCUAACUUCGUG